GACGAACGCUGGCGGCGUGCCUAACACAUGCAAGUCGAGCGAAGUGAUUCCAAAUAAUAUCUUCGGAUAAAGUGAAGAAUCAUCUUAGCGGCGAACGGGUGAGUAACGCGUGAGAAACCUGCCUUUCACAAUGGGAUAGCCUCUGGAAACGGGGAAUAAUACCAUAUGACAUUAUUUUUUCGCAUGAGAGAAUAAUUAAAGCGCAAAGCGGUGAAAGAUGGUCUCGCGUCCUAUUAGUUAGUUGGUGAGGUAACGGCUCACCAAGACUCCGAUAGGUAGCCGGCCUGAGAGGGUGAACGGCCACACUGGAACUGAGACACGGUCCAGACUCCUACGGGAGGCAGCAGUGGGGAAUAUUGCACAAUGGAGGAAACUCUGAUGCAGCGACGCCGCGUGAAUGAAGAAGGCCUUCGGGUCG
rnacentral:rRNA from 1 species